UUUUCCUUUCUUUCUUUUACACUAAUUCGUAAUUUUUAGAGUUUAAGUUUGAUGGAAUAAGUCUUGAAAGGUACUUAACUAAAUGAACUACAAAUACUAAAAAUUAAAUCAUAAAAAUGUAUAAUUAACUUAUUCAUGUUGUUGGAUUAAUUUUGAUUAUUAUAUGAUUUUAUUUUUUUCUAUCUUAUAUAUUAUUUUCAUCUCCACAUCAAUUAAUUUUGGACUCUAAUUUAAGUUAUAAUCUAAUUAAAUCAAAUUUAAGUGAGGGGAGAAAAAAUCACUCACACCUAUCUUCCUAGGAUAUCUUAAAUUUGGUUGUAUAGAUGCUCCACUCACCCUUUCUUUAUAAUUUGAUGGUAGUCGCAAAGCCACUAGUUUGACCUUUUUUGCUACUGAUUUCUACUCAAUUUCAAUACAUAUCUCUUGGAAAUUUUUUUUUUCUUUAAAUCCAUAAAUUUCAUCAU
rnacentral:lncRNA from 1 species